AUUUUUUAUCCGAACAGCCAAUCGUAAAAUGUUCCAGAAUAAUGAAAAUUUGGCCGAUUUGGUAUGCGUGCUAUCCCCAUCGCAAUUCCGUUUCCAGUUUCCAGAGACUGAUAGAACGAUCAAUCCGCUACCGGCAAGUGGUGCUUGCUAACGAUGACCAGACGAGGAAAUGAUGCAACGUUCGUGUGGAAUCGAAUAGAAAGUAUCCAGUAGCUGCGAUACGAUGAUCCGAAGACGUCGAUGAGAAAUUAACAUUACUGCAACGUGACGCAUCGUGCAUACCUAAUAAACAGAUCCCAGCAAUAACAUCUUAGAAAAAGAUAAGGAUGUAAAAGGGCUCGCUGGUCGGCCAGCGAAUUUCAGAGCCGAGUCGUUCCUCGAAUAAGGGGAUGGAGGAAACUGCAACGGAGGAGGACGCAAAGGAGAUAGGAAUUCCUGCAACGUAAGUGGAGGCUAGGAAUCCGAUCG